GGAUUAGAUACCCUGGUAGUCCAUGCCGUAAACGAUGAGUGUUCGCCCUUGGUCUAUUCUGAUCUGGGGCUCAGCUAACGCGUUAAACACUCCGCCUGGGGAGUACGGUCGCAAGACCGAAGCUCAAAGGAAUUGACGGGGGCCUGCACAAGCGGUGGAGCAUGUGGUUUAAUUCGAUACAACGCGCAGAACCUUACCAGCCCUUGACAUAUGAACGAGAAACCCUAUCCUUAACGGGAUGGUACUGACUUUCAUACAGGUGCUGCAUGGCUGUCGUCAGCUCGUGUUG
rnacentral:rRNA from 1 species